UCAGGACAGAAUCUUUCGUCGUUGUUGUUACGACUUACGAGUUUAAAAGUGUUUUUUUCUUAAAGGCUUCAUUGCGUUCAGUCAUGGCUCUUUUAGAGGAGAUGCAUCGUUUUUCUUAUUCACAUUCGAAGAAGGGGUUCCAUGAAGUCUCUGAUGUUGCUACUUGCAUAAUCAGGGAAUCUUCAGAAUCCUCUUAGGGUAGAUGGAGCACCCAAAGUUUGCUCUUGCUCAUAUCGGUUUCCCUACACCAAGUGGGAAGACCAAUAUUCUUCAAAGAAUGGAAAUGAAAGAUGAAGUGAAGUGGUUGAUUUCUGCCGACUUUAUAAGAACACAGCAACAGAGGGCAGCAGCAGAUUCCGUAAGAAUACUACACCUCCCAUUCAGCCAACUACCAGGAAGUCAAAAUGGCAUUACAUAUUUUGAGUAUCUUUUAAACUCAUAUUUCUAAAUUACUUAACUGAAAAUUGAACUUUUGUAUCGAAAUAUGUAAAAUUAUACUAAUAUCCAUUCCAUUAUGAUCAGUUUAAACUUUUGUAUCGAAAAAUAUGAAAUUAAACUAAAAAUCCAUUCCAUUAU